CUGAUUCGCAUUCUCGUUUUCGUUCGAAGCAAAUUCGAACCAUUCGAUCUUUCGAACAUCAAUCAUUCGAAGGUUUAGUCUAUUCUCGUUUUCGUUCGAACGCGUAUUUUUGUUUACUUUCAAUCCGCCACUCGGAACUUGCGGAUCGGAACGUAUCGCGAUUUUUUUUCUUCUCCAAAGUUGGUCUUUUCAUCACGAAACUUAAAAUGUUCAAAUGCAACAACAAAGACCAAUUUUUGGUACUGGUCGGAAACUUGGAGCAACAACCCAACAAGUGUUUCGCUAAAUUUACUACGGGUCCAUCCGGAGCAUUUCCUGAAGAAAAUUACUUAAGUAAUCCACGGACUGAUGCAAAACGAACUAAUUGUAAAAUUUUCGGAGGUGACAUUCCGAAAAAAACAGAAAUCCCUGGAAGCCCAAAAUAAUUUCCUGAAGUAUUGGACUGUGAUGUAACUAAAAUUCGUGAUAUUUUAUGUGAUGUUUAUUAAACUUGGAGAAAAUAAUCGUGAAACGAA
rnacentral:lncRNA from 1 species